UUGUAACCCUGCAUGUGCCUCUGCCGCGAAUGGAGUUGCAAUAUUGGUGUGAAUGACUGACUUUGAGACCAAAAUCUCCCCUCCCUCACCUCUGACAAGUAAACCCGAAGCAGAUCUUGCAUUUUGCUGGUCAAAGGCCGUAUCAAAGUAGAUGGAGGUUCUCGUACUACUCUCUUCAGUUCGUGGGGCACCAUUAUCUGCCAAGAUAAGUUUCUUCUCCUCGAUUCCUUUAAGCUCAGCGAAAAAAUCUGAAAUUUUAUAAGAGAUAUCCCUGGCUGUUGUUUGUCUAUUUUCGUAAACUAGUUUGUUUCUGCUUGUCCAGAUGGUCCAAAGACCGCAACAGAAGAUUCGACAUUGUUCCGUUGUACCACGACUAAAAACCCAUAGCAUUCACGGAAGAUAUGAUUGCAAUCCUCCUCUUCCAGUUUACAAUGAGGACAUCGAGCAUCUGCAACUAUUCGUUUUUUCUUCAGAUUAGCAAAACUAGGAAAGAAGUUCCAAGAGAAUCCCCAUAUUGAAGCUUUUAUUUUUGAGGGAAUUUGUAGAUUCCAAAGUUUUUUGUAAAAAGCUUUAGUCUCGGUUUGUAAAUUAAUAGGAAUUUGAGUACCCUCUUGUAAUAGUUUGUAGGCGCUUCGAACCGAAAAAAUGCCAGAAAGUUCUCCUCUCCAGACUUGAAAAUCUUCAGUUGCUGUCGUUGCCAGUGGAAUUUGCAAGAUCUUUUUAACAACUUCAGCAUUGAAGAGGUCCUCCCAAACGGCAAUACGAUCUCCUUUGCCAACCCUCCAGCAAAGUCCUUCUUCAAGGAUUCCUCUUGCCGACUAGAUACUCUUCCAGGUAAGCGAAGGUAAAUUUCCUAAUUGAGCCUUUAGAAAACACGCAUUCGGAUAGUAUUUAGCUUUCAAUACUUGGCCUAGCAAAGAAUCUGGAUAAUUAAUAAGACGCCAAGCCUGUUUAGCUAAUAAUGCGAUAUUAAAUUUGUCAAGUUUUCUAAA